ACAUGCAGUCGAACGGCAGCGCGGGGCAACCUGGCGGCGAGUGGUGAACGGGUGAGUAAUAUAUCGGAACGUACCCAGAAGUGGGGGAUAACGUAGCGAAAGUUACGCUAAUACCCCAUACGAUCUACGGAUGAAAGUGGGGGACCUUCGGGCCUCAUGCUUUUGGAGCGGCCGAUAUCUGAUUAGCUAGUUGGUGAGGUAAAGGCUCACCAAGGCGACGAUCAGUAGCUGGUCUGAGAGGACGACCAGCCACACUGGGACUGAGACACGGCCCAGACUCCUACGGGAGGCAGCAGUGGGGAAUUUUGGACAAUGGGCGCAAGCCUGAUCCAGCAAUGCCGCGUGAGUGAAGAAGGCCUUCGGGUUGUAAAGCUCUUUUGUCAGGGAAGAAACGGCCGAGGUUAAUACCUUUGGCUAAUGACGGUACCUGAAGAAUAAGCACCGGCUAACUACGUGCCAGCAGCCGCGGUAAU
rnacentral:rRNA from 1 species